rnacentral:rRNA from 1 species
GACGAACGCUGGCGGCGUGCCUAAUACAUGCAAGUUGAGCGCUGAAGGUUGGUACUUGUACCGACUGGAUGAGCAGCGAACGGGUGAGUAACGCGUGGGGAAUCUGCCUUUGAGCGGGGGACAACAUUUGGAAACGAAUGCUAAUACCGCAUAAAAACUUUAAACACAAGUUUUAAGUUUGAAAGAUGCAAUUGCAUCACUCAAAGAUGAUCCCGCGUUGUAUUAGCUAGUUGGUGAGGUAAAGGCUCACCAAGGCGAUGAUACAUAGCCGACCUGAGAGGGUGGUCGGCCACAUUGGGACUGAGACACGGCCCAAACUCCUACGGGAGGCAGCAGUAGGGAAUCUUCGGCAAUGGACGAAAGUCUGACCGAGCAACGCCGCGUGAGUGAAGAAGGUUUUCGGAUCGUAAAACUCUGUUGGUAGAGAAGAACGUUGGUGAGAGUGGAACGCUCAUCAAGUGACGGUAACUACACAGAAAGGGACGGCUAACUACGUG